AGGACGAACGCUGGCGGCGUGCCUAACACAUGCAAGUCGAACGCGCUCCAUUCGGUAGCAAUACUGAUGAAGAGCGAGUGGCGAACGGGUGAGUAGCACGUGAGCAACCUGCCCCGAAGACUGGGACAACACCGGGAAACCGGUGCUAAUACCGGAUAUCCCUAUCGGAUCGCAUGAUCUGAUAAGGAAAUGUUUUUCGCUUCGGGAGGGGCUCGCGGCCUAUCAGCUAGUUGGUGGGGUAAUGGCCUACCAAGGCAUCGACGGGUAGCUGGUCUGAGAGGACGAUCAGCCACACUGGGACUGAGACACGGCCCAGACUCCUACGGGAGGCAGCAGUGGGGAAUCUUGCGCAAUGGGCGAAAGCCUGACGCAGCAACGCCGCGUGGAGGACGAAGGCUUUCUGAGUUGUAAACUCCUUUCAGCAGGGACGAUUGUGACGGUACCUGCAGAAGAAGCACCGACAACUACGCGCCAGCAGCCGA
rnacentral:rRNA from 1 species